rnacentral:rRNA from 1 species
CAAGUUGAGUAGCAAUACUUGACCUAGAGUGGCGUAAGGGUGCGUAACACGUAUGCAAUCUACCCUUAACAGGAGGAUAGCUCCCCGAAAGGGGAAUUAAUACUACAUAAGAUCACAAGAAGGCAUCUGAAGGUGAUUAAAACUGAGGUGGUUAAGGAUGAGCAUGCGCCUGAUUAGUUAGUUGGCGGGGUAACGGCCCACCAAGACGAUGAUCAGUAGGGGAACUGAGAGGUUGGUCCCCCACACUGGCACUGAGAUACGGGCCAGACUCC